rnacentral:rRNA from 1 species
AUGGACCAGGACGCGGCCGUCGCCGAUCAGGAACAGGACACUGCUGUCGCGGAUCCCAGGACUGCCGGCGACGCCGCCUCAGAUACCCACACCAACCGCCAGCCGCUGCCCACCACAUCGACCAGCUCCAAGAUGGUGGUAUGCGGUUUUCUUGGCAGCGGCGUCGGGAUCAGGCUCCAGUUCCCCCUACCCCACAUUGUUGUUGUUGUUGCUGCUGCUCCAGUUCCAAUUCCAGCGAGUGCCAGCGAUGGGGAUGCUCGGAUCGCAGUCCCUGCUCUCAUUUUCCUCCAGCCUCUGGGAGCAUCAGCUACGUCUUAUGUGGGGAUGAACCGAGUGAUAGGAAAAUAUUUUUUUGAAUGCAAUGGGAAGGCGAAAAACGACACGCCUUGGUGA